GACGAACGCUGGCGGCGUGCUUAACACAUGCAAGUCGAACGGAAAGGCCCUGCUUGUGUGGGGUGCUCGAGGGGCGAACGGGGGAGUAACACGUGAGUAACCGGCCCUUGACUUUGGGAUAACUUCAGGAAACUGGGGCUAAUACCGGAUAGGAGCUCCUGCUGCAUGGAGGGGGGUGGAAAGUUUCGGCCGUUGGGGAUGGACUCGCGGCUUAUGAGCUUGUUGGUGGGGUAGUGGCUGACCAAGGCUUUGACGGGUAGCCGGCCUGAGAGGGUGACCGGCCACAUUGGGACUGAGGUACGGACCAGUCUCCAACGGGAGGCAGCAGUGGGGAAUAUUGCACAAUGGGCGGAAGCCUGAUGCAGCAACGCCGCGUUCGUGAUGACGGCCUUCGGGUUGUAAACCGCUUUCGCCUGUGACGAAGCGUGAGUGACGGUAAUGGGUAAAGAAGCACCGGCUAACUACGUG
rnacentral:rRNA from 1 species